CUUGGGUUGACGAAAACUGCACGAUAAACUGCUGACUCUUGAUAUUUUAUUACUAGGUUUAAAAAAAUGAUUAACAUUGCAGUCUGUAGUGCCUCAGCAUCUGAUGAGCAAACAACCUGAUUUUCUAAUUAAACUAUUUCAAUGACUUAUAACCCUGAGCAUGAUAAAACAUUAAUUAAUGAUUAAGUGAUAAUUAUACUAUCAAAGAAAAAACAUCCCUGUCACUGUUAUUAAUCUGCUGUUUGGUUUUGUUAUGAGGGCAUUUUGUAUUAACACAGUUAGCAUUUUUAGCAUUCGGCUAGUUUGUAUAGUGAGUUAUCAUGCUAGCUGUUGUUUAUUAUCCUAAUCAUUGUGCCAGGCGUUCCUACUAUGGUAAUAACCUUUAUCACUUGCAUUAAACUGGACAACAAAUGACAUUUUCUUGCCACUGACAUUUGGUGUUUGUGUAUAAAACACAUUAGUGUGUGUGUAAGCAUCAUAUCACACGAGAUGAAAGACAACCAGCGUGUUGUGUUUUACAUGGUGCACGUGCGCACCGCGGUCUUCCCUGCACCACAUUUGUACAAAAUUAACUGUUGCAUCUCUGGACACGCCCACAAUCGUGUCACCGCUCAAGGCGCCGGAAGUCACCAGCUCUCUACUGUGUCGCUGUGAUGUUGCUUCACUGAGUAAUGAAGGACAUUGGAUCAAGUUUCCUUUUGCAGAUUACAAACAUCGACACGGAUUUUUACACUAAAACAGAACUGGUGUUGAGUCUUUUUUUUCUGGGGGUGUAACUGCCACAUGUUACAACUGGCUUCUGUAAUUAACUGAGUUUCAUUCUUUCAUAUUAUCAUUAAAAUGAUUAAAGUUGGUUCACACAUGUUA